rnacentral:rRNA from 1 species
GACGAACGCUGGCGGCGUGCUUAACACAUGCAAGUCGAACGGAAAGGCCCUGCUUUUGUGGGGUGCUCGAGUGGCGAACGGGUGAGUAACACGUGAGUAACCUGCCCUUGACUUUGGGAUAACUUCAGGAAACUGGGGCUAAUACCGGAUAGGAGCUCCUGCUGCAUGGUGGGGGUUGGAAAGUUUCGGCGGUUGGGGAUGGACUCGCGGCUUAUCAGCUUGUUGGUGGGGUAGUGGCUUACCAAGGCUUUGACGGGUAGCCGGCCUGAGAGGGUGACCGGCCAAAUUGGGACGGAGAUACGGCCCAGACUCCUAGGGGAGGCAGAAGUGGGGAAUAUGGCACAGUGGGCGGAAGCCUGAUGCAGCAACGCCGCGUGCGGGAUGACGGCCUUGGGGUUGUAAACCGCUUUCGCCUGUGACGAAGCGUGAGGGACGGUAAUGGGUAAAGAAGCACCGGCUAACUAC